CUCUGUGUUAAUUGGAUUCAUUGCGUAAAUUUGAAGAGAUGAGUUCGAUCAGAUCGUUGUUGGUUCCCAGAGAAGAAGCAGUUGAACGGUGGCAAGGGUUUUUGUUCGUCGUCGUCAGCUUCUUUUUCCUUCUGCUGUUUCUCUAUGCCGCCAUCAUUUCCAAGCUUCUUCCACCUUCCAAGAAUGCCGUCUUAUCUGCUAUUCAGAAUGACUGGUAUUACUGUCUCCUGGUGCCCUUGACAUUACCUAUCCUUUACGUUGCCGUUUAUUUCCAUUGGCUGAGUAUGAAACUAUUCAAGCAUGCUUGAUCAUGUCGUUGUAUGAAGACAAAGGUUUUGAACAAGUUGUGUCUAAAUCUUGGGAGGAUUCAACCACCUAUCUUUGAUUGAAUUACAAUGCGAUGUGUUAGGAAUUUCCAAUACCUAAGGUGAUCAAGAAUGUACGGGGGAAUUACUAGAGGCAUAUAUGAUGAUCAUGCCGAGCAAAUUCCACAUCGAUGAGUCUCUUGUACUGAUUUUUGUAGAGGGCUGUUACUAUAAAAUAUUCACCCAUUGUGGUUGAAUGAUAAGGAUAUUAGGUAUUCAAAUUAAACUGAAAGGUCAAACAGUGGUGGACUUGGUGAAUGAAUCUAAGCACAAGCUCUAUGAACUACUAAGGGAAAACCAACUUGGUUUAUGGUUGAUUUGAUAUGGACAAUCUUGGAUCUUGACAAUUGCUUGUUUGCUCGAUAUGCCACUUUGAGUACUGGUUUGAUUUAUCAUUGUACCGAUAUUUGCCCAUUUUGUAAUGGAAAUUGAUCUACUCCGGAGCUACCUAUUUACUUCGAAUGGUCUACUUUGUUACUUGAAUGAAAAAUGUUUGAUUUAUUUAUUA